rnacentral:misc_RNA from 1 species
UUGCAAUUAACGUGCAAGAUUUUUGUCAUCUCUCCUCGUUUUCGAGGAGAGACAUGCAGUCCUAAACUCGCGAUUUUCGUUUGUGAUUUUCGCGGAUUUGAUUCUUUGGAGCGUGCAUGCUGGUGAAGACGGGGCUGAACAAAGACUGGAGCGGCCGAUCGCUAAAGAGCGGACUGAGAACAGUGAAGACAAUAUCGGUCUUCCAUGAUCGNNNNNNNNNNNNCAUCGAACCGUCCCUGCACCGCGCGCUUGCCUUGCUCGUUAGCUCGGCGCCAGCCUGCGCU